rfam:Triticum aestivum genome assembly, contig: Triticum_aestivum_CS42_TGACv1_scaffold_212245_3AS
GCGGCUCGGCGGCUCCGCUCGCCGGAGUAGCGUGCAGCGGAGAGAUCCCGCGCGCUACUCCGUCGAGCGUGGCUACCCGUGCUGC